ensembl:lncRNA
CGCAGCUCCCUUCCUGCUGUACUCCUCCACUGCUUUUUACGUUUCUUCACACAAAACUUCAGUUGUGUGCUUCUUUGCUUUUGUGGUUUUCGGGGAGGCGUCUCCGCCCCCCAACAGGUGGCAUCCCCCGUGGACUGUGACAGAGGUCCGCGAGGAAGGCAGCGAUGAGCAGGAUUUGCAACAAUUUGUCGCUUUGAAGGUUCUAAAGAGGUGACCGAAGGUGCCCCUUGCAAUCGCUCAUCCUUUUUAGGAGGGAGAAAGUGGAGCCGGUUGGCCUAUGAACAAUGAAGUUAUAGGCGAGUGCGGCUUUGUGAUGGCUGCUGGCCUCGGCAGACGGGGAGAAUGGCCCACAAACGCACAGCUGUUUCUAAUCGGUAACUCCGCACCAAUGGCUGACCUACAUUCUGGUGCUUGAACCCGUGGCCCUGCCAAAC